rnacentral:hammerhead_ribozyme from 1 species
GCACUGCUGACGAGUUCGACACAGAACGAAACGGUUGUCCAGUGC